rnacentral:rRNA from 1 species
UGCCUGAUGGAGGGGGAUAACUACUGGAAACGGUAGCUAAUACCGCAUAACGUCGCAAGACCAAAGAGGGGGACCUUCGGGCCUCUUGCCAUCGGAUGUGCCCAGAUGGGAUUAGCUAGUAGGUGGGGUAACGGCUCACCUAGGCGACGAUCCCUAGCUGGUCUGAGAGGAUGACCAGCCACACUGGAACUGAGACACGGUCCAGACUCCUACGGGAGGCAGCAGUGGGGAAUAUUGCACAAUGGGCGCAAGCCUGAUGCAGCCAUGCCGCGUGUAUGAAGAAGGUCUUCGGGUUGUAAAGUACUUUCAGCGGGGAGGAAGGGAGUAAAGUUAAUACCUUUGCUCAUUGACGUUACCCGCAGAAGAAGCACCGGCUAACUCCGUGCCAGCAGCCGCGGUAAUACGGAGGGUGCAAGCGUUAAUCGGAAUUACUGGGCGUAAAGCGCACGCAGGCGGUUUGUUAAGUCAGAUGUGAAUCC